GCCCGGCUCGCUGCCCCUCCUGGGGAGUCUUGGAGGCGUGGAGCCCAGGCCCCCAGGCUCGCUGACCCCCAUCCCCACCCACAGGCCGCCGCUCGUGCCUCGGGGAGCCCCUGGCCCGCAUGGAGCUCUUCCUCUUCUUCACCUGCCUCCUGCAGCGCUUCAGCUUCUCGGUGCCCGCUGGGCAGCCCCGCCCCAGCGAUCAUGGUGUCUUUGGCGUCCUGGUGACCCCGUCCCCCUACCAGCUCUGCGCUGAGCCCCGCUAGAGGGGGGACACCAAGCCUCGAACCCACUCCUCGUGGAGGCGCUGAUGACCAAUAAACCAGUCUGAUGGCUCCAACCUGGCUUGAGUCCCACCUGAGCCCCCUGAGCAGAGAUGCAGCCUCAGCAGCCUCCCCAGGGCAGCCACUUCCCCUGCCUGAUCCAGCUCACCAGGCAUUUGACCCCAUUUGAGAGACAGGUUUACUUAGGCUCAGAAGCUGACAGCUUACCCCCUAGUCACCCAUGCAGACCCAACAGUGGCUGCCCUGGUUGGUGACUAAGUCCAUGUAGGCCUUGACUCCUGAGUGUCAGGGGGCGGGAGGAGUGUGAAUGGGCUUCUGAUGGAAUCAGCCCAAUCCUGGGCUGGGGGAGCGCCCUCAGGUUCAGGGAUUCACUGCGAGGACUCAGGGGAGUCAGAACAGCUGUUAUACUCACGGUUAUGGUUUUCCAGAGAAAGGAUCCAGGCAGAAUCAGCAGUGGUCAAAGGCACAUGGGUGGAGUUCAGGAAGAGCAGGCACAAGCUUCCAGCUGUCGCUCUGAGGACUCGUACAGACAGUGCUCAGUUCUGCCAGCAGUGAUGUGUGACACAAGCAGAGAGUUUGCUCACCAGGGAGGCUGCCCCGAGUCUGGGUGUCCAGGGAUUUUGUUGGAAGUCAGUCACUUAGACUCGGAGAGCCCCAUGGCUCACCCUGACGGCAGUUACUCAGUCCCCAGCCUCUCUCAAGGUCAAACAGUGUGGCCCCUGGUCCCGCCAUCAAUCACAUUGUUGACAUCAACUGUGUGGUGUGACCCAGGGCCACAGCUACAGAGACACUUGUCAGGCAGGUCAUCCUAAGGGUGAAGGGGGUGUUUCCCAGGAGCUUUCAGGGGCCAGGCAGUUUUCUGGACUGUGUACGGACUGAAAUCCCAAACCUGCUGAGUAAACUUUUCACCUCACAGGGCAUACCCCUGGUUUUUGUCUCCUACAGCUAAAUGGUCAUAUUUGUGAAUAUCUUCAAUGUGUGUGUGUGGGAGUGAAAAUACACACAACAUAACACUUGCCAUCUCAUCAUUUUCGAGUGUGCAGUUCAAUGCUGUUAAAUUCUCGUAUCGUGGAACCAUCACACCAUCCAUCCCAGAACUCUUUCAUCCUGCAAAACUGAAACUCUGUCCCCGUGAGACAACAACUCCCCAUGGCCCCUCCCUGUGGCCCCUGGCAACCACCAUUCUACUUUCUGUCUCUGUGAAUUUGACUCCCCUAGGGACCUCACAUAGGUGGCAUCAUAUGGCUGAAUAAGACUGCGUUUUAUGUAGAGACCACGUUUUGCUUUUCCUUCAUCCAUUCACGGACACUUGGGUUCCUUCUCUCUUUGAGCUACUGUGAAUAACGCUGCUGUGAACAUGGGGUACAAAUACCUCUUUGAGACUGUGCUCUCGAUUUGUGGAUAUGGAACCACGGGAUUGUUGUCCCACAGCAGCUGCGCCAUUUUACACUCCCACCGGCAGUGCGCAUGGUUCCGAUUCUCCAUGUCCUCGCCACCACUUGCCAUUUUCUGUUUUGAUGCUGGUAGCCAUUCUCAUGAGUGUGAGGUGGAAUUUCACGGUGAUUUGGAUCUGCGUUUCCCUAGUGAUGGGUGACUUUGAUAUGCAAAAGUCCAUUUGUAUAUCUUCUUUUAGAAAUGUCUGUUCAAGUCGUCUUCCCAUUCUAAAACUGAGUUGUGUGUCUUGUUAUUGUUGUUGUUUUUGAGUUUUAGGUGUUCUCUAUAUAUUCUAGAUAUUAAUCCUCCUCCAAUAAGUCAUG
ensembl:lncRNA